rnacentral:rRNA from 1 species
GAUGAACGCUAGCGGCAGGCUUAACACAUGCAAGUCGAGGGGUAUUGGUUUUUCGGACCAAGAGACCGGCGCACGGGUGCGUAACGCGUAUGCAAUCUACCUUUUGCAGAGGGAUAGCCCAGAGAAAUUUGGAUUAAUACCUCAUAGUAUAGUACUUUGGCAUCAAGGAACUAUUAAAGUCACAACGGCAGAAGAUGAGCAUGCGUCCCAUUAGCUAGUUGGUAAGGUAACGGCUUACCAAGGCUACGAUGGGUAGGGGUCCUGAGAGGGAGAUCCCCCACACUGGUACUGAGACACGGACCAGACUCCUACGGGAGGCAGCAGUGAGGAAUAUUGGACAANGGGCGCAAGCCUGAUCCAGCCAUGCCGCGUGCAGGAUGACGG